GACGAACCGUGCGAACGUUAUUCGGAAUCACUGGGCUUAAAGCGCGUGUAGGCGGGCCGCCGCGGCGGCUGCUGAAAUCCCCCGGCUCAACCGGGGAACGGGCACCGAUACGGGCGGCCUCGAGGGGGGUAGGGGGGACUGGAACUUCCGGUGGAGCGGUGAAAUGCGUUGAGAUCGGAAGGAACGCCCGUGGCGAAAGCGAGUCCCUGGACCCUUUCUGACGCUGAGACGCGAAAGCCAGGGGAGCGAACGGG
rnacentral:rRNA from 1 species